rnacentral:tRNA from 1 species
UGUUUUGUGGCUUAGUUGGCUGAAGCGCCGCUCUAGCGAAUACGGAAUCGUGGGUUUGAAUCCCACCAGAAUGC